AUUGAACGCUGGCGGCAGGCCUAACACAUGCAAGUCGAACGAGUGGCGGACGGGAGAGUAAUGUCUGGGAAACUGCCUGAUGGAGGGGGAUAACAACUGGAAACGGUAGCUAAUACCGCAUACCAUCGGAUGUGCCCAUAUGCGAUUAGCUAGGAGGGGGGGUAAAGGAUCCCCUCGGCGACGAUCCCUAGCUGGUCUGAGAGGAUGACCAGCAACACUGGAACUGGAACACGGUCCAGACUCCUACGGGAGGCAGCAGAGGGGAAUAUGGCACAGUGGGCGCAAGCCUGAUGCAGCCAUGCCGCGUGUAUGAAGAGGGCCUUCGGGUUUAAAAGUACUUUCAGCGGGGAGGCGUUAACCGACGAAGAAGCACCGGCUAACUCCGUGCCAGCAGCCGCGGUAAUUC
rnacentral:rRNA from 1 species